GAACGCUAGCGACAGGCCUAACACAUGCAAGUCGAGGGGUAACAUUGCAGCUUGCUGCAGAUGACGACCGGCGCACGGGUGAGUAGCGCGUAUGCAACCUACCUUGUACAGGGGGAUAGCCCAGAGAAAUCUGGAUUAAUACCGCAUAAUAUGAUUGAUUCGCAUGGAUUAAUUAUUAAAUUUUCGGAGGUACAAGAUGGGCAUGCGUAGCAUUAGUUAGUUGGUAAGGUAACGGCUUACCAAGACGAUGAUGCUUAGGGGGUCUGAGAGGAUAGUCCCCACACUGGUACUGAGACACGGACCAGACUCCUACGGGAGGCAGCAGUGAGGAAUAUUGGUCAAUGGACGCAAGUCUGAACCAGCCAUGUCGCGUGCAGGAUGACGGCCCUAUGGGUUGUAAACUGCUUUUUUACAGGAAUAAUUGCAGCUACGUGUAGUUGUUUGAAGGUACUGUAGGAAUAAGGAUCGGCUAACUCCGUG
rnacentral:rRNA from 1 species